AGCAUAUAUGCAAAUAUUCUUCCUUUUUAUUAAGUAAAUGUGUACUUUUUGCACCUUGCUUUUUUCACCUAUUAUAUUUUAGUUGUAUAUAUAGAGCUGCCUCGUUUUAACUGCUGUGUGGUAUUUCCUUGUAAGAUAUAGCAUAAUUUAUUUACUAGUUCUCUACUGAUAGGUAUUUAAGUUGCUUACAAUAUUUUGUUCUAAACAAUAUUACAGAAGAUAUCUUUAUAACUUAUGUCUUUUUGAAUAUAUACAGGUGUAAUAACUCAUAGAACUAGAAUUGUUGAGUCAGAGGUCAUUUGCAUUUUUUAUUUUGAUAGAUAUUGAGGGAUUGCUCUUGACAGAGUCUGUGCAAAUUAUGCCCCGACAGCAAUAUAUUGAUUGUUUCUCAGCGUCCUCAUUAUCACAGCAUUUUAUCAAACUUUCUGAUUCUUGACAAUCUAAGGGAAAAAUAGUAAUUUAUUGUUUAAUUUGCAUUUCUAUCAUUAUUAAUGAAACUGAACAUUUUGCAUUUUCUUUCUGUGAGCUGACUAUUCAUAUCUUUACCCAUUUUUUUGUUGUGGUGAUCUUUUCAUUAUUGAUUUCUAGGAGCCCUUUAAACAGUAAAGAAUUGAGUUAUUUGUCUGACCUAUGAAUUGCAGGUAUUUUUUCCCAAACUGUCUUUGAUUUUGUAAUGGGUUUUUUUGGUGGACGAAGGCAGAUUUUUGCUUUUCUUAAAAAAUGUUUAUAUAGCCAAAUAUAUCAGUGUUUGCUUUUUAAUGUCUUCUGGGUUUGGGAUUAUAUCUUAAAACGCUUUUCUGCUCUAAGAUCAUCUUUUAAAAACAACCUCCCUAUUUUUACUUUCUUGAUUUUAUUUGGUUUGAUUUUUAUGUUUGUAUCUUUGAUUCAUUUAAAGCUUAGUUCGGUGUAGGGAUCCAACUUUAUUAAAUUGGAGUGCAAAAUGAACCAACUGCUAAUGGAUCUGGUCGGUUAGGACAUGAGUCCUGGUUGAUUAGCUACGUGAGAAUCAUCCCCAGCUCCCCACAGACUUUCUUACACUUUAUUUCUCCAGCACCUGCUAUGGUGCCGGAAAUAGAAGUCUUCAAAUGGAUUUUAAAAUUGAACACACUUGGGAUGGUUUUCCAGUGAAGCAUGAGCCAGCGUUUGUCAGGCUGAAUCCAGGUGAUAGAGGAGUGAUGAUGGAAGUCAGUGCUCCAUUUUUCAAUGAUCCUCCAGCCCCACUAGGAGAACCAGGAAAGCCUUUCAAUGAACUGUGGGAUUAUGAAGUUGUGGAAGCAUUUUUCUUGAAUGACAUAACUGAACAGUAUUUAGAAGUUGAACUUUGUCCCCAUGGACAGCAUUUGGUGCUUUUACUCUCUGGAAAAAGAAAUGUGUGGAAACAAGAACUUGAUCUAUCAUUCAAAGUGUCCAGAGGAGAGACAAAAUGGGAAGGUAGAGCUUAUCUUCCUUGGAGUUAUUUUCCACCAAAUGUGACAAAAUUCAAUUCAUUUGCAAUUCAUGGAUCAAAAGGUAGAAGAAGCUAUGAAGCUCUUUACCCUGUACUUCCACAUGAGCUGCAGCAAGGACAAAAACCUGAUUUCCAUCAUCUGGAAUACUUCAAGCCUUUCAGUUUUAACACACUGCUUGGAGAAGAGUGGAAACAACCAGAGUCAGACCUGUGGCUAAUAGAGAAACCUGAUGUGUAGGAGUAUAGUAGAUGACCACAUCAAUCAUUUCUUCUCUAUACCUUUUAAGGAACCGUAUAUUAAACAUAUUGCCCAAGAUCAUACAGCUAAGGAGCAGUAGAUUUGAACCCAGGAAGUUUGGUUCUGGAGACCGGGCACUUGUCAACUUUACUACAGCCUCUGACUGAAAUUUUCAAAAGUAACUAAGAAAGAAAACAACUGCCAGCUGGAAGAGGAGAUGUGAGAAUUAUAUAAAGAUAUUGGUAACAGUUGAAAUAUAGAGUUACCACAACAUGGCGCAGUUUACCAGUGCUACAGAGCCCUGUGACUCUCAAGUUUGAUUCUGGGGUCCAAGGCUAACUGAUGAAAGUGAAUGAUCCUUUCUUUGAUGAUCCCCAGGACUACCAGGCGAAGCAGGACUGCCUUUUGAUGGAGCAUGAAGUUGUUGAAUCAUUUUUGUUUGAACAGCAAGACUAAACAGCACCUGGAGGUGGAACUCUGCCCGCACGGACAGCACCUGGUCCUACUGCUCUCCAACAGGGAUUCAUUUACAUAAGAGCCAAGUUCACAAUUUAAACUCAACACUACCUGGAACCGGUGGAGUGGGAUUAUAUUUCUUCCUUGGGAAUAUUUUCCACGUGGUAUUGAUAAAAUGAAUUCAUAUGCAAUUCAUGGAUCAGGGAUUAGAAGAAUUUAUGAAGCCCUCUAUUCAAUGCCACAUGAAGAGAUGGAAGAUGGACAAGGCCUAACUUCCAUCGCCUUGAGUAUUUCAAACCUUUCAACUUGAAGUGGAUUAUGGGAAACAACUGGGAGAAGCCAGACUCAGAGCUGUGGAAGGAGCUUUGCUGUGAUCCUUUACCUUCUGACAACACAGUUAUAGCUCGUAACGAAAAGCACUUAACAAAUAGAACUCCAUGUACCACCACCUUUUGGCCUCAGUUGGACAGCUGAAGUAAAAUCAUUGUCUGCUACCACUGUAAAUGUUCCAACAACACGCUAGAAAUAAAUCAUCUAAUUGAA